UGAAAAUGAUAAUGGAUGAGCCAAGGACUCCCUGACUGCAAGGUCUUGUUCCUGCCCUGUGGACUUUGUCCAGUCUGAGAAGAUCAGCCUGCUCCCAUGCAAUGGCUUGCCAAAGCUCCCAGAUUUCAGCACUGCUAUUCUGUUCUCCAAGCAACAGUUCAGGGCAGGAGAGUUUACGGGAGUUUUCAGGAGGAAAAUGUAGACCUGAGGAAAGAGUGAAAAUAUAAAGUUCCAUGUAGAGUCUGGAUUUGGUCCUAUUUUUUCUGAUCUGUCAAACUGCUUGGCUUUCUCAAUGGAUAAAAAUUCUCACACCUCACCUCUAUGCUGUCAGACAUUCAUGUGCACAAUACUGAUCUCAGUGCCACGAGAUAGAUCUCUGACAAUGCUACUUUAUGAAAAGAUCGUCAUAUCUGCAAGGGUGUAAAUAAAUCAGAAUCUGGUCUACAGCUCCUACUUUACCAGAUAUUUAUCUCGUUUCAAUUACAGAUUAUUUUUUUUCAAAAUUCAGUUAAAAAUUGUAUUUUGGUAUUGAAAUUGUCUGGGUUUGAAUGAGUGUUUUUUUAAGUGAGAAAAGUUCAUUUGUCUGCAUUCUAGUUAUAUAAAAAAAA